rnacentral:rRNA from 1 species
GAUGAACGCUGGCGGCGUGCCUAAUACAUGCAAGUCGAGCGAACAGACGAGGAGCUUGCUCCUCUGACGUUAGCGGCGGACGGGUGGGUAACACGUGGAUAACCUACCUAUAAGACUGGGAUAACUUCGGGAAACCGGAGCUAAUACCGGAUAAUAUAUUGAACCGCAUGGUUCAAUAGUGAAAGACGGUUUUGCUGUCACUUAUAGAUGGAUCCGCGCCGCAUUAGCUAGUUGGUAAGGUAACGGCUUACCAAGGCAACGAUGCGUAGCCGAACUGAGAGGGUGAUCGGCCACACUGGAACUGAGACACGGUCCAGACUCCUACGGGAGGCAGCAGUAGGGAAUCUUCCGCAAUGGGCGAAAGCUUGACGGAGCAACGCCGCGUGAGUGAUGAAGGUCUUCGGAUCGUAAAACUCUGUUAUUAGGGAAGAACAAAUGUGUAAGUAACUAUGCACGUCUUGACGGUACCUAAUCAGAAAGCCACGGCUAACUACGUG